rnacentral:sRNA from 1 species
CAUUCAACGGCGUGUUUACAGGAAAAACGAAAGGGGAGAUAAAAUCCCCCCUUUUU